rnacentral:RNase_P_RNA from 1 species
GGAGAAAUGCGGUCUGUCGCUUCAUGCCGGGAGCAUGAAGAGGAAAGUCCGGGCAACACAGAGCAACAUAUUUGUUAACGGCAAGCCGGCGGUGACGUCGGGGUUAAUGUGACAGAAAACAACCGCCUGAGACAGCUCCGNCUGAAUCAGGUAAGGGUGAAAAGGCGGGGUAAGAGCCCACCGGAUUCCGUGGUGACACGGGAUGCCGCACAUCCUAUGUGUUGCAAGGCCAAAUAUACCGGCAAUCAAGGGUUGCUCGCCCAUUGCCGGGGGGUAGGCUGCUUGCGCAGAGCGCAGAGCUGUCCGGCAACGGACAGUCAAGAUAAAUGACAGACACGGCUUCGAAAGAAUGUCCGCACAUAACCCGGCUUACAGCAUUUCUCCCUCU